UACGUAGGGUGCAAGCGUUAAUCGGAAUUACUGGGCGUAAAGCGUGCGCAGGCGGUUUUGUAAGUCUGUCGUGAAAUCCCCGGGCUCAACCUGGGAAUUGCGAUGGAGACUGCAAGGCUAGAAUCUGGCAGAGGGGGGUAGAAUUCCACGUGUAGCAGUGAAAUGCGUAGAGAUCGGGAGGAACGACCUGUGGCGAAGGCGGCCCCCUGGGCCGGCC
rnacentral:rRNA from 1 species